CGGUGAUAUUUGAUUUAUGAUGCUCUUGUAGUAACAUCAUGCUCCAAGCCAUCGUUUGGCAGAUAACAAUGACAUUGAGUGUACAGGUUACUGUGAUCUCAGAGCAGAGGAUACCACAAAGAUCAGUGCACAGACAGAAUGACAUCUUUGCUUUCUGGUUGCUGUUGGUUGACUGGAUCUUCUGGGGGUUCAUGCACAAGCCAGUGGAUCGUGCCCUGACAGUUCAUGAAGACAGAGGGACAAGGACUGUGGCAAAGGUGAAGAGUUUAUGUGACAUUUCUUCACUUUUCUUUCUGAUAACAUUUAUGGGACUCGGUGAGCCAUUAUUUUGAACACAUGCAGGAAACUGGUCUGGCCAAAGGUAGAUGAUCAUGUUCAGGAAGGAGUACAAGUGAGGACGUAUAUGAAGAAAAGAUGAUUCCACGUAAAUGAUAUGCUCUGCCUCAUUCAGGAUCUCUAGAGACCAGACUGAUCAGUACAGAGAUUUUGUACUUCUGACAGUGGCCACUCCCAGUGAUGGAGGAAUCGUUGGUGCAAAGUGUUCUGCUGUGAGGGCAGGUGAAAAUCCUGAUCUCAGUGAAGGAGACUUCUAGACCCUGCAGAGGGAAUGUGGCUGUGCUGGGGAGAGCAGCAGGAUCUGGGAUGGAGACGUGGAUGGAGUGGGAGGAGACGGAUGUCACAUGAUGGUGAUGGCAGUGCAGCACUGAAGAAUUUUGGAGAGGUGGAAGACAAGGAACAGAGAAGGAGGAGCUUGUGGAUAUCUUCAAGUGGAGGAUCAGAACUCUAUUUUUAAAAGAUGAAGUAAUUCUAAUAUUUCAAAAAUAAAUGGCACUUUUUAGGUCAUCUUUUUAAGAAAAGGGUCGUUAUCUCCUCUCCUGGUGAAAACCUAUAAAAGAGAAGAAUAUCCAUCUUUUCCUGUUUUCAGCUUCACCCUGGGAUGGACAUUUUACUUAUUUGUGUGGACUGGGUCACACAGUAGCUAACAGUUCAGAUCCAGUUAAGAAUUUGAAAGAGAAUUCCCUGAUGCUUCCAGCACUCGGAUGAGUGGCAGCAGACUUCAGAGCUGAUGAUGACUUUGAAUCUGGGAGAUAAAGCAGCUCCUGACAUGAUUUCGUGACCACCCCACAGGGAUGUGAAGCAAAUGCAAAGCAGCAAACAAAGCCCACACUGCAUUCUUGGCACUGAAGGUUGAUUUAUUGCUCUUCCCCAUAAGAAUGACACUUUCCCUCCUUAGGCUGAGGGUUCAAGGUGAAGUCCAGACUCCUUAUUGACUUGUCAUUUGCUGGUGAUGUUUCUACUAAGUCAAACAAACAUCAGAUUUUCUGCAUCUUAGUAGGGAAGUGCAACCUGGGAAACUUUAAAACUGAAAUCAGAGGACCCUCCAGAAGCCAAAGAUUUGCAGUUUGAGAGGACUGUCUUUUCUUCUUAUUUUUUAAAGGAAUCCGAAGUCCCCACUUUAUAAAAGCAGUUCUGAAUAAUUUAUAUAAUGAACUGAUGGGAACAAAAAUGGAAUUUAUAACUCAGUGAUAUUUCCCUGCUUAUUUUGCAAGAGGAGGAGAAGAGUUAUGUGACAAAUUAACUGUAAAAAGGAGAGCUAAAAUGCUUUAUAAUGUUCCUUGGGCAGAAUUUACUGAAUUGUGCUGAAUUACACCGAGCUGAGGAGGCCUGGAGAUAACAACAAACUAAAUGUCUUUCACAGAUUACAUAUUACUUUGCAUUUACAUUUGAUUUGCUGGCACAUAUCAACAUUCAGGAGUCUGUGGAUUAAAUAUAAAUCGAGUGUGCUGCUUGCCAGCCCAAUUCCAGUGAAUUAAUGGCUAAAUGUGAACCACAACACCCUGGGAAGGUUACAGA